rnacentral:rRNA from 1 species
AUUGAACGCUGGCGGCAUGCCUUACACAUGCAAGUCGAACGGCAGCACGGGUGCUUGCACCUGGUGCGAGUGGCGAACGGGUGAGUAAUACAUCGGAAUGUACCUUGUAGUGGGGGAUAGCUCGGCGAAAGCCGGAUUAAUACCGCAUACGCUCUGAGGAGGAAAGCGGGGGACCUUCGGGCCUCGUGCUGCAAGAGCAGCCGAUGUCAGAUUAGCUUGUUGGUGAGGUAAAAGCUCACCAAGGCGACGAUCUGUAGCUGGUCUGAGAGGACGACCAACCACACUGGGACUGAGACACGGCCCAGACUCCUACGGGAGGCAGCAGUGGGGAAUUUUGGACAAUGGGCGAAAGCCUGAUCCAGCAAUGCCG